AGAAGCUUAGGUUAAAUUAAACCAGGAGCCUUCAAAGCCCCAAAUAAGAGCUAAACCCCUUAGCUUCUG
rnacentral:tRNA from 1 species